GUGGGGAGGCGUUGAGGAUCGCGCGGUGGGCGUGGCCUCUGUGGCCCCGGCCGUUUUUGGCGGUUUGAGGGUCGCUGUGCAGGCCCCGAGUUGCGAGCGCUCUGGGAUUUCUGCUGCCCUGGGAAUGAAUGAGUCCAGGGCUGCUGGCUGAGUUGAGCAGAAGUUUGUGCUUCGUGGAGGGGCUCCCACUAGGGGUGAGGGGACCCUAGAGACGCUGGGGGUAGAAUAUCAGGAAGACGGGGCUGUGCCUGGGACACGGGUGGCGUCCGUUCCCGUGCACUAGGACGGACGUCUUAAAAGAGAAGGCCACCUCCCCAGGUUCCUGGGGCUGCCGGAGACGCCAGUGGAGAGCAGCGUUGGCCAUGCAGGCGUCCUUCGUGUCCAUUCUCUGUCACAUUGCUGAACUGCUGCGCUCUGAGUGUUUACAGCUGGUAAUGGAGUGAACCAAGGCCUUCAGCAACCAGGCGGUCAACCAAAUGCUACUACAGGAAUGUGCUUGGCUCCCCACCCAGGAGACAGCAGCUUAAGGCAUUGCCCCAUGGCAGCGAAGAGUGCCUCGUUGCCCCACGUCACCAGGGGUGGCUCUGAAGACGAAUUGUCAUCCCUCUGCCCCUCUUGGACUUCUGGGACUGAUGUGGUGGGCUGUGCUCCACUCUGGGAAAAAAUGCUGCUUUUACGCUUGAUCACUCGGGCCUUAAAAGAUAACAUGGCUGGCUAAAGUCAGGGAGGGGCUGGCAAAACAAAAAAGAGAACCGGAGGUCUCUCAGGGGUGGUUUGAGUCUUGGUUCAAUUCUUCUCCGUGGCAAGUCACCCUACUAUCAAGACUCAUAGGGGCCCUUGUUCUCCUGAUUUUAAUUUUAACCUUCGGCCCUUGCAUUGUUAACAAACUUGUGCAGUUUAUAAAAAAAAAAAAAAAAUUGGACACUGUUCAAUUAAUACUCCAACAGUCCCAAUAUAAACCCUUAAAUGAAAUGUCAGUCCAAAAUCCAUGAUUGGGUUUUUCAAACAUGUACAAAAACAAGGGGGGAAUGAAGAGCCAAAGUGACUCCAUUUUAAAACAGUAAAAAAAGCAGCCUCUGUUUUCCAUAGCAGACCCAAGUCCUUGUAAAAGCAGGCAUUCAGGCAUUCCGGAGAUAUCAAAGCUUACCAGGGAUAGCUAGCUCGGUACCAAGGACAGCACAGUAGAGAAUGCUAAACAAAGUACCUCCCUGUACCCAAAGCUCCCGUGCUGUAAGCCCCCACUGAUGUAACUCUUUUUUCCUGCUGAUGUAGCCCUUUUUUCCUUUAAAAACUCUCCCAAACAAAGACUGGGGCUUCACUCCUUCCUCCGCUGUGUCGGUUGGUUGGAUGGGGUCCCUGUCACGGCUUGUACUCCCGAAUAAACCUUGCUUUUGCAGUUCAGGGUGAUCAACUCUCUGGGGGUCUCUGCGGGGAUCUAACGAUCUGGGCACAACAGCAGAAGUUUCUGAAUUUGAUAUAAUCCCAUUUGUCUACUUCUGUUUUCAUUGCCUGUACUUCUGGGGUCCUAUCCAAUAAGCCUACACUAUUGUCUUGAAUUAUCUUCUUUGUUUCCUUCUAAUAAUUUCAUAGUUCCAGAUCUUACAUUUAGAUCUUUGAUCCAUCUUUAGUUGAUUUUUAUAGUUGAUGAAAGAGACCUUCUAUCCACUGGUACACUCCUCCAAAUGAUCAGGAGCCUGAACUACCUCCAUGGCAGAGGUCCAACCACUUGGGCCAUCUUCUGCUGCUUUCCCAGGUACAUUAGCAGAGACUUGGAUCAGAAGUGGAGUAUCCGUCACUUGAACCAGUGCUCAUAUGGGUUGCUAGACAAUGGCUUAACCUGCUCUGCCACAAUGCCAGCCUCCUCCUCACCUUCCCAGCCCUGUCCAGCUCCAGGGCUUCUCCAUGUCCACCACCUCCUCUUUCUCCUGGGGUGCACCUCCCCUUCCCUUUCCUCACUCCCACCCUGCUGAACACACACACACACACACACACACAUCAGAUGACAGGAAUGGGCUAACGCAGUCCUAGAAGAAGAAGAAUCUAUUUCUCUCAGGUCAGAAGCCCUUGGGGUGUUUGUUGGUGAAACUGAGUGAAGUGAUGAACUCUGCUGGUGCUAGACAUCCAGGCUCAGUGGCUGAGGGUCCCCAGGCAGUCCUCAGGCCUGGGCAAAACUGGCUAAUCCAAGACGGUUCCAUACCUGGGCUGACCAAAAUAAACGAGCUCCAGUUCCAAGAAGCUAAAAUGCCUAGCAACCUCCAAACCAGAGGGAACACUUUGCAAGCCCAGUGCUAUGAGGAAGGAUCACAGCACCUCCAUGUGGUGAUGGCAGCAGAACCGGGGUCCUCUGGCUGGGGCAGGACCCGAGAAAACCAGCCAAGCACUCCUUUUAUACAGAGGCGCACCAGGUCCUAACCACUCACGAAGAGAUGGCCCCUUCCUGUCUGCCUGGCAGCUUGAGGAACUUCAGUGUCUCAGACUCUGAUCCCCCACCCUGGGGAUACUGCUGACUCCUGCAUUCCAGGGGUCUCUGUGCCUCUCGGUGUUGAAUUAUCCUCAUGCAGUGCAUGAAGAGCCGCCACGUCUAGGCAGGCAGGAUGUGGAGAGCUGCCAGGUUCAAGGGGAAAACCACAUGACAUUUUCAGCUUCAAUCAAGGACAGAGUCCGGUAUUGUGAUUUGGAUUCUGACUGCUCCUGCCGUGUCCCUGCGUAUCACACUACAAUAAUGUGGCACACCACUCGUGACCUUCAGGGGUGUGGUCAAGAGCAGGUUGUUUGGCUGAAGUAGACCCCAGAGUUCUCUCCUGGACUUGUCCUUCGUGGCAAGGCUUGUGGUUCUCUGUCUCAUGCAGGGCAGCAAGAGACACCUCUUCACAUUGGGUAGCCUGAUCUAACUGCAGGAUGAUGGCUUAAAUCACAGUCACUGAUAAAAACCUUUCACACCCUUCAAGAGGUACAGGUCACAGUGUCCCCCAGGACCCUGGAACCGAGCACCUUCUUGCACUGAGCAAAGCUGGGGUGCCUCUUAGGUGCCAGUCCUCAGGGACUCACAGUGAGUGCAAGGUGUGAAGUGCAGUGAAGAAAGGCAGAUGAAAGCAGACUUCAGUACACAGGGCCACGUGUCACUGCAGCACCAAGGAAUGGGCAAAAAGGGUCUUGCUGAGCCUUCAGAAACUGAGUGUCUUUGUCUCAGCUUCGGGUAUCAACCCCCAAAUUUGUGCAAAGACAACACUUGAUAUCUAGCACCUUUGGAUUUUGAAUGUUUUUUUCCAGUGGAAGCUGGAGGGGUGGGGAAGCAUUUUUCAAACCCACAGAAAGAACUGUUGACUCUACAGUAUUUCUUGCACUGUAAUCAGUGAGUAUGUGGUAAUUUGGAGAAACUUUGGUGGCUCAAACCCACUGUAGGACAUUCCAGUCCUCAUCGAGAAUCUUUCUUUUUCAUUACACACUUCAGAAUCACCGUUCACAUCCAUAGUGUACUAUAUACCUCAAAAGUCUUCCAACUUCUACCUGUUACUCAGAUCUGAAGCUGCUUCCAUAUUUGUAAGAAUUCAUCAGACCCUCAUGUCUUGGGACCACAAUCUGUGGCAGUCAAGACUCUGCAAGGACUUACAGGAUAUGGACAGCUAUCCAUCAACAUCUGUGAAGGAUGGGUUCCGGGACCCCUUGCAGACACCAAAAUCAGUGAUGCUCAAGUCUUGUACGUAAAAUGGUGUAGUUUUUGAAUUUUACCUAUAUAUUCCCCCAUAUGCUUUCAGCCAUCAUUAGCUUACUUAUAAUACUUAAUAUAAAUACAAUGCAAAUGAUGUACUGUGUGUAGAAUGGUUGCAAGAGGAAAAAGUUUAUACAUGUUCAGUACAGAUGCAUUUUUUGAAAUGUUUUUAAUUAACAGUGGAAUCUGCAGAUGUGGACCCAGGGAUAACCAAGGGCUGACCAUAUGUAAAAGACAGAAAUGUGUCAUGUGUUCAUGGAGGCUAAGAAGUCCAGGAGCUGCUGGCAGAGAGUGGGAGAGAUGGUGUGUGGUUCUAGGUCAAGUCCAAAAUGCAGGAAGGGCCAAAAUCCAUCCCAGUUAGGCAGAAGGACUUUCCUCUAUCUGGGAGUGAAUCUGCAUAUGGACUAUAUCUCACCUCUACCUCUACCUCUUCUCUGUAUUCCACCUUUCAAAUAAAUUAAUUUAAAAAAAACUCCCAUUGGUGGGCAUUGUGGCACACUGGGUUAUGCCACCACUUAUGACCCUGGCAUUCCAUAUCAGAGUGCCUGGUUCAAGACCCAGAUGCUUGCUUCCAGUCCAGCAUUCCUGCUAAUUAUGGGAGGCAGCAGAAGAUGGUUCAAGUUCUUGGAUCCCUGUCACCUGUGUGAGAGAACCAGAGAGAGUUCCUGGAUGCAGAACUUCAGCUUGGUCCAGCCCUGGCUUGCAGGCAUUUAAGAAGUGAAUCAUACAUAGAAGGCUCUCUCUCUCACUUCUUCCUUCCCUGUUUCCCCCACCCCACCCCUGCCCUGUCUGCCUCCCCUCAUCUUUGCCUUUAAAAAGAUAAAUAAAUCUUUAAAAGAUUGAUAAACCCAAUAUUAGAUGUUUGACAAGUUACUUAUAAUGGAUUAUAACAUUGAAAUUUAAAAUUCCAAGUAAUAGAGAAAAAAUUAAUUGAUAGAUAUUAAAACCAAAUUUGGUAUAAAUUACAUUUUGGUCAAGAAUUUAACUUUUUAACUACAAAAUGCCAACAUCCACAAAUAUUCAAAAGAAUUGGAUUAGAAAUCAGUGUAUAACAUGAAUAUAAUAAUUGGUAUAAGCAGGGAUGGUUAAUGCAUGGUAAAAUUUUAAGCCCAUCACAAACAGUAUAUUUUUACAUUCUCAAAUUAUUAUUCUUUAAAGUUCGUUUUUCAACUCUGAAAUUUUAUUUUCUGACAUUUUUCAUGUUUACAAAACAAAACUAAAAGCAGAUAUCAAAGGCUUUGUGGAGGGGCCAACACUGUGGCAUGGCAAAUAAGGCCACCCCCUGCAGUGCCAGCAUCCCAUAGGGUACCAGUUCAAGUUCCGGUUGCUCCACUUCCAAUCCAGCUCUCUGCAAUGGCCUGGGAAAGCAAUGUAAGAUGGCCCAAGUCCUUGGGCCCCUGCACCUGCGUGGGAGACCCAGAAGAAGCUCCUGGCUCCUGACUUUGGAUCAGACCAUUGCAGCCAUUUAGGGAGUGAACUAGCAGAUGGAAGACCUCUCUAUAUAUAUCUCUGUCUGUAACUCUGCCUUUCAAAUAAAUAAAAUAAAUCUUUAAAAAAAAAAGACUCUGGAAUUUCUGGACCAAUUUUCAUCUAAGUCGGUGAUGAUGAAACAAUAGGAAAGGUAGAAAAUAACUAGACACAGGAUGAUUUCACUCUUGGUCAUGUAUGACUAGGUGGAUUAUUUUGGAGCUACUAAAUAACUUUUUAUAAGCACUGGCCAUUUUGAGAACCAAUUUGGUUUGUCCAACAAAGUAAACAAAUUUUGUUUUGCUCUGUGGCUUUUUUUUAAAGAUCUAUUUAUUUAUUUGAAAGGUAGAGUUACAGAGAAAGGGAGAAGGAGAGAGAGAGAGAGAGAGAGAGCGAGCAUCCAUCCGCUGGUUCAUUCCUCAAAUGGCCACAACAGCCAGAGCUGGGCCAGUCUGAAGCCGGGAGCCAGGAGCUUCUUCUGGGUCUCCCAUGCUAGUGCAAGGGCCCAAGCACUUGACUCAUUUUCCACUGCUUUCCCAGGUGCAUCAGCAGGGAGUUGGAUCAGAAGUGGAGCAGCUGGGACUCGAACUGGCACCCAUAGGGGAUACCAGAGCUGAAAGUAAAGAGAAGAUCAUUUCAUUCAGAGGCUGCCAAGAAUCUCCAUGAUGUUACAGUUUCUGCAUCCUCCCUGAUUGAGUUUUCUCAGAGACCUAUUACUGGAACAAAAGUUGAUGUUCUUGCCACACAGGCUCUGAUACUUUAUAGGUAGGUUUAUACUGAGCAAGACUCCUUAUUCUGGUGCCCAGGAAGAAGCUGAGCAGCCACGAUUCUUGAUUCUUGGAAGCAGAGAAGCUGAGUGCACUGACACAGCCAUGAGCAGAGCAGCAGCCUCGAGUCUGCAGUCUGGUCAAGGUGCGCCCCCACCACGUGCCCGUAAUCACCGUUCGCCUAAAUAAGGGAAGUGUGAUCCAGGUUUGCAAUGUUAGUAGCUAUCAUCUCAAAUUUAUUAUGAAGAUAACUUCCUGAUGAGCUAUGAACUAGGAAACUGGCCUCAAAUUCUGAUCACAUCCUCCAGUGUUAGUGUAAAAAUAAUAUAAAACAAAAUCUUGCCAAUUAGGGGUUAAAAGUACACAAUGAAACCUGAACGUGAUCCACGUACAGGCUGGCGAUCACAUCACUGAAAGGGCGCUGAGAGGAGGCAACCCUUGUCCUGAAACAAAACUCCCUCCCUAUUUUCUGAAUUUUCAUGAAAGGAAAACUGGUGGAUAAUUUUCUUCUUUACAGAUAUGAAAAAGGAAGCAAGAAAGCUAAGGGAGACAAACGGGUGCUACCACAGCAGUGGCAUUUGGUGGUUUUGUUCUUUGUACCAGCAACACCUACGACAGCAACAGGCAUGCAACUACUGCAGAGGGCACAGCUUUCCUUGCCCUGGACACAGGAACGAGAAAGCCUACCCCUCCAGCAGCCAGAGCCCUCUCCUGCCCCUGCAGUAACCCCCCCUCUGCUGCUCUGGGUUCUGGGCGCCUUGAAAAUGUCCUGCAGAGCACCACCACCACCACCACCAACGCCGCCCCAUUCUCCCCAGAGACUUGGCAGCCCGUGCAGUAUCCUUAGCUGUGCAGAGCUGAGCGCCUUGGUGACAGGGCUACCGACAAGACCCCCCUGCCUGGCUCUGGUGUUUCGGGGAUGUUCAGGGCCGCCUGGAGAGCAGCUGUCCUGUGUCCUGUCCUCAGGCAGGAGUGCACCUCGCCUGCUCUCCUGGAGCCCCGCCCGGCCGUCACUGCUGUCCUCCUCAUCCAUCAACUUGAUCUCAUCCUACCCAUCCACACCCACCUCCCAGAACUGCUCCCACCAAACCCUGUUUUUCCAUAUCCCCACCUCAGGCCAGGACUCGGCCUCCUGGGGAGCAGCCAGGAACUCAGGGAGAGCCACUGCCCACUCACUUCCCGCUUCAGCUCUGGGGCACCACCUGCUCCGGAGUUCUUAAUAAUCAGAGAGAACAACGCGCCUCCACAAUGGACAGAUCCAGCAGGCAGCUCAUCUACAGCUGACCCACCCUAAAGCCAGGGCGACUGGCAGGCACACAGGACGUCCUUGGCCUGCAGAGGGCACGCGGCAGGAAGCACCCAGCAGGCCCUGCGUGGCUCAGUGGAGCAGCUGAACUUCAUCCUGAGGCAAUCACCAGGUAACUUCAGCACACAGGCCACUGAGCCAGACCCCGCCCAGCAUCCGCAGACCAGUCAGCAUGCACCACCCCCCAGACCACAAAACAUGAGAUGUUUGCAGCUCAAAAGCAGCAAAGAAGCAGAUCCUUUUAAUCACCUUUACCCCAAAUGUCUCUCCUUCUCAAUGUUGUCUUAUCUGUGGGAACACUGACCGUGGGAGGAGACGGGUCAGCUGUCCGGCUCAGUGGAGCGCCCGUGCAGGAGUCAGAUCAUCCCGAGGGUUACACCGAGGCUGACCCUCAUCAGCAGGAGCGCUAGUGGCAGACCGCCCACACCUAGCACAGCCCGCCCGUGGCCUCGGGCGUCUGGGUUCAUCCGCGGUCUCUUCCUGCUCCUCAGUCCCCGGGUCUCUGCAGGAGGCAGGUGACAGGGCAAGGUGAGAGUCUCUCUGUAAUGUCUCUGCAUUCAGGCCUUGGUCUCUGUGGGUGUUUACCCAGUCAGAGGCUGAAAGACAGUCACAGCUCUCAUCCCCCAGCCUCCCGUGGUGGAAACCAUCAAGAGUGGUUCAUGGUGGUCAAAGUCCUCUCUCCGUGCUCUGUCUGGGAUUUACCCCGAGCUGCGGUUUGAGCUACUUUUUCUUACAUAAAUCGGCGCUAUCUUUCUACGCUUCCAGCAGCAGUGGCACCUAAGAGAGGGAGAGAAGAAAAUGAAUGGGUCAGGUCCUGCUGAGAGCUGAUGCAGCCAAUGCUCCAAGGUUACAGAGCCCAGAGAGAGACUGAGCUCCUGCAGAGAGGAAGGGCUGAUGAAAGGCACAACUGACCUGACCUGAGCUGACAGCCCAGCCUGUGGGGCAGAGUUAGGGCCCUCGGCCUUCCCAAACCAGGGUGGGUGCUCUCACCCAAGUUCUCCUGACCCCUUUGGCCUUUCGCACCUGCUUGUGAUGGUCUUAGCUUCCAUCUAGCUGACUUUGCUACAGGAAGGAGGGGACUCCACACAGAGACAGUUCUGUCAUAGUUCUAUGGCUCCAUAGUCCUUCUAACCCCAGGUGCUUGUCAGAGGAAUUCUUUUAAAGGGCCAAUGCCUGAAUCCCACCUUUCCAAUGUAAAUCAUACUUUUUAGUGCUGGUCAGAGUCCCUGCUGACUCAGAGCUCACCCAGUGUUAACUCUGAGACUGCUCAGUUGACCUGCCCUAUGUCCCACCAUACCUGUUGCAUUCCCCCUCUCUCCUAGCAUGCGUCUCCUUCCCCCUGGCCUUGAAGAAUCAGUCUUCUCUCUGACAUUGUCAUGUAAUCACUCCCUUUCUUGAAACUCUACUAGGUUCCUUGAUUCUGAUUCAACUGAGUCCAUUAUUCUAGAUUCUUCACUGAACAUACAGAAGUGCUCUUAGGACUUAAAUAUGGAGGCCAGAAUUGCUCAGCACACAAUGCCCUGUGCCCUUUGAAAUCUUGGCCUCUCUGUGUACGUGGAGCUGACUUCCCUUUAGAGUGCCACCUGGUCCUCCCGAUCCUACUCCUACUCCUCCUACACCAGCUCAAAUGAGCCCAUGAGGUGCAGGUGCUGAGUCAAGUGAAGCCCCUGGCAGUUUAGCACAGGUGUACAUUUCUGGGAAGAAAAAACUACUCCAGACCAAUAGAGAUCUCUCCCCUGUGGCCCACGUUCCAGUUCAUUUUUGGAAUCAGAGUUUUCCUCCUCAGUUUUAGCACUUCCAAUUCACAUGUGGAAAUAAAGGGUGUAGGAUUGCAUGAGGCUCUCAGAAGGACACUGGAGAAGAUUCAUGUCCAAAUGACUUAUGAAGACAGGGCUCCCAGAAGAAGCAGGCAUCGGAUGGAUUGGGGAAGCAGGAAAUGGGAAACAAGGAAGCCAAGAAAGGUGUGUGUGCUUUCAGGCAAGCUCCCAGAAAUCACACCAAGGAUAUGGGGCUGGGUUUGCUGUGGACUGAUAAAGAAGAUGGGGUGGCAGCAGGGAGAGCCCAGCAGUGCUGAGAGUGCAAACAGGUGACAGACAGGACAGGGUGGUGGCUGCGGGCAGUGGAGGUAACACCUGAUAGAGGUCCCAUCCACCAUGGGAGAGAAGAAGCCUGGUGACAGAAUAAGCUAGAAGGCCAAGUAGGGAGUAAUAAGGAACAAAGGCAGCAAAGAUGAACAGACGUGACUACCUCUCCAUCCUAGCCUUGAAGGCUGCAGUAUCCGCAUGAGAUCCCCCUGGGGCUAGACUGCAGUAUUCUUGAUAUUCUGUUGGCCAUGGAAUCUGCAUGCCAGUUCCCAUGUGCUGAGCUCUGGCUUUGUCUCGUUAACCUGCUGACCAGAGAAUCUGCAUGCGAGUUUCUACUUGCUGGAGUGUGGUUUUCCUUUCAUGAUACUCAUGCCAGGGAAUUUGCAUGCGAGUUUCCCCCUGCUGCCCUGCGGUUUUCCUUUGGUAAACUGUGCUUCAGGGCACUUGGGACUUCGAAGUGGCCGGACAUGAGGUUUCCCCUUAUCCAUGGCCGGAACUUCGGGGCACUCCCUGUAGCUGGGGAGGGUUCCUCAUCCCUCGAGGAGCAUGCAGACUCAGCGCUGAUAACAGAAGGACAGUCAGCAGUAUCCGCUCGUGUCCACACUCUCUCUGUGAUCUUCUUUCCCACUAGUGUGGACCCAUGCCUACUGUUUGGUCUUUGUACCAGCAACUCCUACAUCAUGAACAUACAAAAGUGCUCUUAGGACUGAAAUAUGGAGGCCAGAAUUGCUCAGCACAUAAUGUCCUGUGCCCUUGGAAAUCUUGGCCUCUCUGUCUACUUGGAACUCAAUUUCUUUCUAUAGUGCUACCAAGUCCUCCAGGUAACCUCAGCUUGAAUGAGCCCAUGAGGUGCAGAUGCUGAGGCAGCAGAAACCCUUUGCAGUUUAGCACAGGUGUAUAUUUCUUGGGAGGAAGAAAAAAAACUACUCCAGGCCAAUAGAAAUCUCGCACCUGUGAUCCAGUGCAGGGUCUUAGUCCACCCGAACGAGGAUGGACUGGGUCUGAGGAAAGGUAAAUGCGCUGCUCGCCUGUUCCCCAGCCUCACUUUUUCCCAGAGACAAUCAGACGUCUUGGGGAGUUGAGUCAAGCAGGAACUUGUUUAUUAUUGUGCUGUAAGCCUCUCUUAAAGCAAAAAAUCACAGAGGUAUAGGAGAGGGGAAGAGAAGCCAGCCAGUUGUUUUAAAGAUUACCCUAUCAUGCACUCGGUUUCUAUAGGGUCCAAGCACUAACGUCAUCUCUCCUGAUGCCUGUGCCCAAUCAAGUUUUCUUGUAAACAACCCAGACUCCACUCAUCUAACUUCCUCUUGGCACCACCUUUGCCACCCUCAUGCCCCGCAAUCCAGGUCCCAGUUCACUUUUUUACAUCAGAGCUCUCUCUCAGUUUUAGCACUUCCAAUUCACGUGUGGAAGAGCGUAGGACUGGCUUAGUCACACUCCCCAACAGUAGACCCAAGGAGAUCCAUGUGCAAGUGAUUUACGAAAGGUAUACUCACAAGGAAGAAGUGGGUUUGCAGAAGCAGGGAAGGGGAUGCAAGAAAGCCUACAAUGUGUGUGCUUCUAGGCAAAUUUCCAUGUGUUUAGCAGCGGAAGGAUGACCUUUAGAUCCUAUGAAGACUGUGGAGCUGGGUUUUGAUGUGGCUAUGAUAAGGAAGACUGGGACACGUGCAGUGGGAGUAGAGCAAAGCUCAGACUGCAAACAGGUGAUGGACGUGGAAACACCUGGCCUGUGGGAACCAAGACCAGAGGUUACACAGCUGCUGGCCUGUGGGAGAAUGUUUUAUGGUCUCAUGUAGAGAAUACUAGGGAACAAGUGUAUCUAAGAGGAAGGCAUGAUUACUUCUGUAUCGUAGGGUUGAAGGCCAGGGAAACCUGCAUGCUAGUUUCCAUUUGCUGUACUGCAGUUUUCCAGUGCUGGGGCGUGGGUUUCCUUUGAUAAUCUCCUCACUAGGGAGUCUGCCUGGCUGUUACCACUGGCUGGACUGUGGUUUUCCUUUGAUAAUCUUCUGUUUCUGGGCACCUGGGACAUUGAUGUGGCCGAUUACUUGAUGCUCGUGUAUGUUGGUGGCUGACUCUUCACAAGCAUUGUCCUCCAGCUAGGUAGGGUUCUUCAUUACAUGGUGACAAUCAAACCUAGCUCUAAAAAUGAAACCACAACCAUCAGGAUCAAUAUUUAUACCUAAUAUCUCUAUGACGUCCUGUCCAAAUAAGGAAAGUGACCUGGAGUAAGAAAGUCCAAAGAAUAAGAUGACGUCUACAGGGAUACUAAGAUAUUUUCAUUUUGGUUGAUUUUUAUACAUAUUAUAUAAUGAUAAAUGUAUAAAAAUCAAACAACUGAAGGGAAAAGAACUGAAGAAGAUUAACACUGUAGAUUACCAAGUCUUUCAUAAGCACAGAUAUAUUUCAUAUAUACAUAAUACACACUAUAUUUAAUAUAUACCAAGUACAUAUGUUGUAUGUGACAUGGUUUAACUGCAUGUGUUCAUGUAUUUAUCUAAUUGAAGCAGUUACUACUUUGGGAAUUGGAGGAUGUUAUAUAAAAUGUUAUCAUCAUUCUUCUGGUCAGCUGGAGUGGGAGCAGUUUUUCAGGCACCUGAAGAAUGAGAGAGAGAAGCCGUCGUGAGAAACAAAUGUGCUACCAGAUGCCAGGGAGAAAUUCCAGGGUAGAGCUGGAGAAUGAAUGAUGAGCUAUGAAAGCACCCUGGUCUGCAAAACCUCACUGGGAGCCUGGCUUCAUGCUCAGGCCUCCUUGGAGUGAGCAGGGGCAGCAUUCUGGGCCAGGGCAGCUAGGACUGUGGGAGUCCAAGGAGAAGGAGAGGAGACCAGGGGAGGAGAGAGGACUGAACACCACAGGUUAUCACGACUGUGUCAGGGGCCUUGCACCCCCGUACCCCAAUGUUAACUUUCCAGGACACCUAUUCAAGGUGCUGGGUGGUGCUUAUUACCUGCUAGGACCCCCGCCUCUUCCUGAGAACACGGGUCUCCUCAUUUCUCAGAGGAGAGCAUUGCCUGACACGAGCCCCAGCCAGCCCCAGGAACUCCAGGAGGAGAAACUGAGAGUGGUGGAGAAAAGGAUGAAUGAACCCAGCUGGAACGGUUGGGAUUCUGCCGAUCUGAGCAGAGCCAGAUCUCUAUGGGGAAGGAACACAGGACAGGGCCAUGGAGAUGAGUAUCACUCAUGAAUCCCAUGAAGAGCCACAAGACAGCUAGUUCGUGGGACGACUGCCCCUUAUUUCACAACAGUGGGAGCUGUGGGCCCAGGUUGUGCACAUUCCUGAACGUGCCUGCAACAGUGCCCAUGAAGGUUCCUAAUGAUGGCACUGGCCUACGAGGGAUGUCUAAGGACAGGAAGCAGCAAAUCAGAUCUUCUGCAUGAGCGAAGGAAGACAGCUCCCUAAAACUCAGAGAUCUUAAAAGUUGUUCUGCAUCAGAUGAAAUAUAUCAUAUGAAGUCACUUUCUAAGGGUAACUCACCGGAACAAGCAAAGGAUCAGAAAACGGAUAUUCAGAAUUGUUUAUUGAACAAUUUAUGACUGGAUUGGGUACUCUGGAAAUGAUCAUAAUGAAUGCUCUGGACAGCGAUUAGAUGCAUGCAGAUUUUCUUUUUCUAGUCUCCCAGAGGAAGGAAUUCAUAUGUAAAUACAUAAGAAGAAAAAAUACCGUGGCUAUGGUAAACAGCCAAGAGAUGGUAAACUCAGAAUCUGUCACCAUGGCUCUGGUUCCACUUUUUUGGCAGUGGCACCAGAGUGUCAUGGUAAUAUCCAGGAAAAGAAAGACAGUAAAAGUUGGAAUCACAAACUGGAUUCAUGAUUUGAAUACAAUCAGAAUUUCUCUAUGGUUCCAUUCCAUGUCAGUGACAUCUCUCAGUGCAGUUUGGGGUGAGGAGUGCAAGGAUGUUUCUGGAUACUUAGGACACCCUUGGGAGCUUUGUCACCUUCACACUGUGUACUCACUGUCUACAUCGCCUUCCAGGGAACACUGCUGUUCCUUCAUUGAAUAAGCAGCUGGUAUAUGGUUGGUAGGCAUCAGACAGCCCAGGACAGACUGUAUGCAAUAAGCACACACCAGGGGGUGCUGUGAGACUUCAGGCUCUUCCACUGGAGGAAGCUCCCUGAUGAGCCAAGGUGGAUCAGAUGCCACAGUGACCUAGGAAGAUUUGACAGUAUAUUUGAAUGUGGUUUAAAGAAAAGGCAAGGAUGCAUUUUAAGAAAUAGUAUGUUCUUUUGUAUAGAACACAGGGUGGCUGCCAUGGUGAUAGAAAGUUAGACUGGAGUGUUGUGGAGGGGAGGAAAGAUACAGACAGAGAGGAUUAGGUGCUCAAUACAUUUGCCUGAUUUUCUCUCUGCUUUUAAACACAGACAUUGAGCAUGUAAUCUAGAGCAGUCAAGCUUUAUGACAGAUUAUGUCGGAUGGUGGCUUUUCCUCUAUUCCUCAAAUUACAUUGAAUCUUUCAUGUAGUGAUCAAUUAAAUAUAUUUUAGGCCUUAUAUAGCCCUAGAUACCUAUUAAGACCUUUUUCUCUCAAGAUGAUGACAUGUCAUAAUACUGGUUUUUGUCUACCUAAUUUUCUUGCUGUGAGUUCCUUGUCUACAUGUUAAUACCAAACAGGCAACAAACUCCUCACUGUAGUUUAUAAGCUAUAGGUACAGUGCAGAUGUUUCCUGUAGAUCUCUAAGACCAUUUCUGUUCUAAAUGGUCAACUGAGACUUUAAUGCAGAAUAGGAAAAUAUACAAGUACCCCAAUGAAAACAGCAAAGUCUUUAAAAGGGUACUCUGUGUUUUGCUGACUGGAUGAAAUAGGUAGAUUUAUCACUUUCUGAUUUCCUUGGAUAUGAGCUCUACAGAUGCUGCCAGUGAGUUAACAGCCCGUGAUUUGACCACAUUACCUGGGGCAAGUUGGUCUUGUCCUUUCCCUUCUUCAGGAUCACUUUGAUUCUCCACAAAUAUAUAAAAGAAGGCCAAUGACAUAGCCUCUAUCCCACUUCACAUUUGCCCAGUCCUGUGUCUAAGCCUUGCACAGGGGCAUGAGCCUAUUCAGUGUAAUAAAGGAUGUGUGAGAAACUCCCCCAAGCUUCAGGCUGACACUUGUUAGAAGUCACUGGAUUUCCUGGCCUGUGCCAUGGGGCAAAUGACCCUGAUAGGACAGAUGAUCAUCACCAUGUCCUCUGUCCUGAGUCUGAGCAAACAGAUCUCACUCACCAAGGCCUUUGGGAAUUGAUUUCUAGGAGUGUUGCUGCAAUACUGACUUUCCCAUCUGAUAUCGUAUUUAAUCAUGGUAGAGGAAUUGAACCGCAAGACUGGAUGAAUUCUGUAACCCCUUUCAUAAAUCAGUCUAUGCUGUUAGAAAUAAACAUUGGGCAUUCAUUAUGUGGGGAAGUUACAGGGCCCAUCCAUAAUUCUUGGAAACAUAGAAGGAAGAAAAAUAUAGAAGUAUUUAUGUCUUGGUUUUGAAAUGAUGGCUUAGCUAAGACAAGCCACCUUAGAGGAGAUAAAGAGUCAGGUUGAAAGCAAUGAAACCAGGCUCAUAACAUGGCUAACACAGAGGGAAGGUUGCCAAAAGCUUUGAACUGGCAUAGAACUCCAGGUACACUGUUUUAGAACAAAAAUUAUGUCAUUGCAGGUGACAAGAGACAUUGUUUCUGAGCUAGAAAGUCUGAAAGGCACUUCCCAUACAGGUCCAACAAAGUGUAUAUGAGUUUGUCGGGGUCCAGUGAGAAAAGGCAGUAUGUGAAGAGCAGAGAGAAGCUCCUGGACUCACCUGAUGUCUGUUUAAUGUCCCCACCUGGUCCCUGAUUCACAAGAAUGUGUGUAUUCAGCGCCUGUGCUCAGAGGUGAGCCUCAUCAGCCCAGACAGAGGAAUGUGAGGCUGCCUGGGAGUGUGUGUACACUCCUUCUUGUGGGAAUCAGAAUGUUCACUGUCUACAUCCAGAACAGCGUGGGCUUCCUCUUCAUUGAGUGCACAUUCCAUGCUACUCUCAGGCUGGUAGCAGUCAUUUGGGGGUGAUCCAUGGCACGAGUGAAAGAACUUUGCUCCAGUGAAUUCUCUGGGAUGUCCUUUUCCUCUGCUUCUAGCAGCUCCCUGAGAGCCAGGUGGGAUAGGGAUGACAGAAAUUAAACCAAGAAAGAGUCCUGCUGGGUUUGAUGGGCUGCAUAAGGGUGUGGUCAUAGAUAGCACAGGGCAGUCCCCUCUAAGAGGGAACAAGCAGUCCUCUCUGGAACACAGUGUGGCUACCAUAGGAGGAGAGGAUGCCAGAGAGAAAGAGAGCAGCGGGUGCUCAUUGCACUGGACAGCAGCUGCUGGGGAGCAGCUGCGUGGUAGUCCCAUGGCAUGAGCACACGUGGACGGCCGCCCCACUGACACCGUGUGCUGAGCUUAAGUUGAGCGUAGCGUACUGCAGCCCUGGGAGUAAAGUUCUAGAGACCUUGCAGAUGUGGUGCCUCUGGGCCCUCUCUUAAUACUGUGACAUAAAACAAAACACAUGCAACCAGAAACCAUUAUGCUUAUGGAAAUAAGCCAGUCCCAAAAGAACAAAUGUCAUACGUUUUCUCUGAUAUGUGGUAGUUGAUAUAGAAAACAAAACAACAACAACAACAACAACAAAAAUGCAUAGGGAUGAAAUAGACAUCUUGUGAUCUGAUUGUUGUUUUUGACCCUUGUUAAUACUCCUGUGGAACUAUGGUCUUUCUACUUUUUACUUGUUGAAUAUUAUGGCUAAUGAUAAAUUAAGCCUGUGAUUAUGGAGUGGAUUGAAGUCAUGUUUUUGCCAAAAUUUAAGAAAAACAAGGAAUUGACAGAGGGAAAGAUGAAGGGAGGGAAGUAUGGUUCUCUUCUUAGAAUUGUACCCAUGAAAUACAUUAAGUCUGUUCUCUUAUGUUAAUAAAAAUGUUUUUAAAAUGUGACGUGAGACAUAAACAUGCUUUUGUCUAGGUGCUUCUUUUUUGAAGUUGCAACUUAGCCAGAUACUCCCUAACUGCUCCCUUUGCCUGCUCCCUCUUUGCUGGUUAUGCUCGCUAACAAGGACCUAAAGAGAACUGUGUAGGAAGCAGAUACGCAUCUUCCUCUGGUUUGCAUUACAGGAGAGAACAGGGGUUCUCUUUUUGUGAAGGAAAUACUCAAGGCUGGUGAGUUGAUUUUGGCUCAGAUUAACAAAUAGGACAAAGACAACAGACAGCUGUUUUAGCAGAGCUAUUUCAGGUUCCGAGCAAAUUACAUCAGCACAAUCUGCAGUUUUGUUUAUGCUUUGCAUCUGAAAUCUGUGGCUGCCUUGGUCCCCUUUCUGUUCUUUUUGAGAUCCUUUUCCUUAUUUACCUGUUCAUUCCCAAUGCUUAAUCAUUCACUGUUACCUGUCGGCAGCAGUUUCUUAUUCUCGUUUUUCCUCAUUUUCAUUAUUUCUGGAAAUUCAGAAAUGUCCACUCACUCACAACAAACCCAGUGAUCUAUAUGUACAGAGACACGAACAUCUGUGUAGGGUCAGCAUUACACCAAAGUUUCCCAUUUGCUGUCUUUAAACAAAUGCCUUGCCAUGCUUUUCUGAUCCAUCAGCACUGUGUCUCUGAUCAGGGAGAUGACAAUCAUGGCAGGGUCAGCCUGCAACAAGGCAAAAUCCUCAUAUCACUGGUAGUUUAUCAAAGCUUCCCAUGGACUUCUGUGUCUGCAUCCCCCGCCCCCGCCGGUGUGAUCCCCAUGCACAGGUUCUAUAUUCCCACGGCCUCACAGAUAAUCUGCUCCUUUUGAGAUAGGCAGGCAGAUAGAAUAAAACCUAUUAGGUCUAUAAGCUGGAGACCAUACCCUCCACCAUGCCCACUGUGUGAUCUCACGCCCCUACUUGAUCUCACCUGCCCAUCAGACUAUGCAACCACUCCCCCCUUGGAAAGCAUAUAAAAGGCGAAGAGUGCCCCCAAAUCACUCUACCUUUGCCUCACUACCCAUGCUAAGCUACUUGUGGCUGCUCAUAACCAAAUUCUUCUGUACAUGGCUCCUGACCUGUUCUCUGCUUUGUAUGGAUCCCAACUUAGUCUCUAGACUUUUCUUUCUCCAUUAGAUAAAUCCCUCAUUCUCCUAUGCAUUUCUUUCACUGAAUAAAAUCCUUAAAAACUUACCAUGUUGGCUAUUUGAGCCAGUAUUCAGAAUUCUCUGAAUACAUGGCAAGAAGCCACACAGCUUAUUAAUUUGGGGAAAUAUUAAUAAGCAGGUCGGUUUCACUUUCAUUAAGAUGAUAGACAAUGAUGACUCUCAUCCCUCCAUAUAUACACAGGCCCUUCAAGUUGGCUUCGUUUAUGUUAUCAAAAGAAAUUCUUUCCCUAGAAAGGGGUCUAAGCAACUUUCCUAACACAAGUUCUGCUCAUUCCAGUACCUGAUGUGACACCACCCAGUGAGGGGAGUGACUUGAUCCUAUUAUGAAACACACAAGUGACAGCUCCCACAUAUCACUGCCAUAUCCACUAUGCAACUGUAGAAUCAGAAUCAAAAUGGAGUGAGUGUGGCUAAAAGCUAAUUGCAGACCUCUUGCUUCUGUACAUAUCAGCUUUGCUUGCUAACAGCUAAGGGUGUAUCUUGUGAAACUACGUGGGCCCAAAUUCCCAGGAACUAGGUUGACCGAAAUGUGUCCUUCACUGUUAUCUUACAACCAUAUCUUGGAUCUGUUAUUGGGUUUGUUAUUGUUAACUGUUGUCUUACAACAAUAUUCUGGUUUUCUUUUUAUUGUUCAUUGCAUACCAGGGGUCCGGUUCAAAAUUGUGAGCCCUAGUGGACAGAAUACUAUAACAAGCCGUGUAACCUGCUGUUGGGGGCCACACCCUGGUAAGGAGUGUUGGUCCCGAUCGAUUGCUGAUCCUGAUCAGUUGCUUUGCCUGUCAUUUGCCUCUCAUUUUCAAUAAAAUUCAUGUGUGACUGUCA